AGUUGGGCAAGAGUCACAAUGCUCUCCCCAUCCUUGCUCCUCUGGCUCCUACUGCUCUGGCCUCAAGAAGCCCAGGCAGCCACUGCAUUGACCCAGACACCAGCCUCCCUGGCUGUGGCUCCAGGGGAUACAGUCACCAUCACCUGCAAGGCCAGUUCCAGCAUUGGCAGUAAGAUGGCCUGGUACCAGCAGAAACCAGGACAGUCUCCCAAGCUCCUGAUCUAUGCUGCUUCCAACCUGGAGUCUGAGGUCCCUGCCCGGUUCAGUGGCAGUGGCUCUGGGACAGACUUCACCUUCACCAUCAGUGUUGUGGAGGCUGAGGAUGCUGCAGAUUAUUAUUGCUAUCAAGCUUCUAGUAUGCCUGAAAAGAACAAUAAGGGAGGGAGGGUAGAA